GACGAACGCUGGCGGCGUGCCUAAUACAUGCAAGUCGAACGCUGAAGGAGGAGCUUGCUUCUCUGGAUGUUUUGCGCACGGGUGAGUAACGCGUAGGGAACCCGCAUCUUAGCGGCUGAUAACUCUUGGAAACGCUAGCUAAUACCGCAUAAGAUUAGUUGUACCACGACAUUUACUAAAAAAGUGCAAUCGUAUCACUACCAAAUGGACCUUCGUUGUAUUAGUUAGUUGUUGGGGUAACGGCUCACCAAGGCGACGAUACAUAGCCGACCUGAGAGGGGGAUCGGGCACACUGGGAAUGGGGCACGGCCCAGGCUUCUACGGGAGGGAGCAGGUAGGGAUCUUUGGCAAUGGGCGGAAGUCUGACCGAGGAAAGGCGGGUGGGUGAAGAAGGUUUUCGGAUCGUAAAGCUCUGGUGUUAGAGGAGGACGAGUGGGAGAGUGGAAAGUUCACACUGUGACGGUAUCUAACCAGAAAGGGACGGCUAACUACGUG
rnacentral:rRNA from 1 species